rnacentral:lncRNA from 1 species
CGAAACUUGGGCCCCUCGUCGCCGGAAUCUGUUUCCUCCUCAUGGAUCCCUCUGCCCAUAAGGAAGGUGGGCAAGCCCACAAGCCCCGGCCACAAACCGGCGAGCUCCUCUCCAGCGCCAAGGUGGUGGCCGGCGCCGCCAAGGCCUCCCUCCGCCACGAACCCGGCGGCGUGGACAAGGGCAAGGUGGCCGGCGCCGCCGCCAACCUUCUAGACGCCGCCGCCCACUACACCAAGCUCGAAGAGAAGGGCGCGGGGAAGUACAUCGAGAAGGCCGAGGGAUACCUGCGCACGUACCACUCUACCCAUUCGGUACCCGGCGGCGCGCCGCCGUCCACGUCUCCCGCCGCCCACGAG